GACGAACGCUGGCGGCGUGCCUAAUACAUGCAAGUAGAACGCAGUUGCGAACGGGUGAGUAACGCCUAGGUAACUGCAUGGUUGCGGGGGAUAACUAUUGGAAAAGAUAGCUAAAACCGCAUACUAGCAGCUGGACCUGCGUUGUAUUGGCUAGUUGGUUAGGUAACGGCUCACCAAGGCAACGAUACAUAGCCGACCCUAGUGGGGGGUCGGCCAAAAUGGGAAUGAGACACGGCCCCGACUCCUGACGGAGGCAGCAGUAGGGAAUCUUCGGCAAAGGGGCGAACGCUGGACGUGCAACGCCGCGGGAGUGAAGAAAGUUUUCGGAUCGGAAAGCUCUGUGGGUAAGGAAGCGGUACUUAACCAGAAAGGGACGGCUAACUACGUGCCAGCAGCCGCGGUAAUAC
rnacentral:rRNA from 1 species